rnacentral:rRNA from 1 species
AUACGGAGGGUGCAAGCGUUAAUCGGAAUUACUGGGCGUAAAGCGCGCGUAGGCGGUUUGGUAAGUCGGAUGUGAAAGCCCCGGGCUCAACCUGGGAAUUGCAUUCGAUACUGCCAGACUAGAGUAUGUUAGAGGGAAGUGGAAUUCCGGGUGUAGCGCUGAAAUGCGUAGAUAUCCGGAGGAACACCAGUGGCGAAGGCGACUUCCUGGACCAAUACUGACGCUGAGGUGCGAAAGCGUGGGGAGCAAACAGAAUUAGAAACCCUAGUAGUCC